rnacentral:ncRNA from 1 species
GAUCGGGAGAGACCGCACGGCCGUGUGCCGCCUGCGGAGCCGAAGGGGCGUAGUGAGAAACUCUCAGGCAAAAGGACUGAUC